rnacentral:rRNA from 1 species
AAUGAACGUUGGCGGCAUGGAUUAGGCAUGCAAGUCGGGCGAGAACCGUAGCAAUACGGGGACAGCGGCGAAAGGGAGAGUAAUGCGUGGAUAUCUACCUCCAGGCCUGGGAUAGCCGCGGGAAACUGCGGGUAAUACCAGAUAAUGUCUCCGGACCAAAGGUGUGAUUCCUCCGGGGAGAUGAGUCCACGUCCUAUUAGCUAGUUGGUAGGGUAAUGGCCUACCAAGGCAAUGAUGGGUAGCAGGUGUGAGAGCACGACCUGCCUCAUUGGGACUGAGAUACUGCCCAGACACCUACGGGAGGCAG